UCCCCAGAAAUCUGGGAAGACUUCUAACUGGAAGACUGGAAGACUUCUAACUGGAGAUAAUGCAGUAGAGAUAUGAGACUAGGAAGAAGCUUGUGGCUGAUGAUAAACAUAUGGGAUCCUUCCAAAAAAAGGACGGCACUGAAGUUAUGAACUGAAGAUGCUUAUGAAGUCAUUAGUAUCAUGGACUGUAAAAAUCAAACACUGUGUAAUUCUCAGAAUACAACUAGACACUGCUCUCAUGGGAAGGAGAUUGAACUAUGUGUCUUGCGUCUUGGAAAAAAUGCAAAGCGACUCACUAACCAUGAAGAAAUAGCAAAUUAGGAAGACAGGAUGAUCAGUUUCCUUGUCUUAUUAAAAAAUAAAGUCUGCUUUCUUUUCUCUCUCCUUUUA